rnacentral:lncRNA from 1 species
UUCUCAGAACCCAAUGCAAUAAGGCUGCUGGCUUCUGGCGGUCCACAAUUGUGUUUUUUCUCUAGGUUCUCCCUAGGCAUCUGGAGUUAGAACAUUUCAAGUGGUUCCUGGUGUAGGUAACUAGUCUUAUCAUUUGGGGGAGGACGCUCUGUUCUUGGGUUGCACUCUGAGACCUAACACAUGUGGAAGCUAUGGGGUUCCUGAGUUCCACCCAUGUGGGGUGCCUGUAGAGUCCCUGCUAAAGAACUGUUCUGCAGGUCAGGUGAGGAGUCACAAAGGAAUGGAUGUGGGUUAGAAAUAGUUGAGAGGGAUGGAAGGGAAGGAUUAUGGGAAUCCUGGGCCCCAGGUCCACACUAAGAGUCCAAGUCCUAAAGAGACCAAACUGCUGUGUUUUACAAAAGACAUGUGACAAGUUGGAUAGUUAAUCAUUUGGCCAAACAAAACUUUCAAACGCUUAAAACAUUUUUGUUGGUGAUUUUCCUUUUAGGAGGUAAAUGGAUGCAUGCAUUAUUCACACAAAGGUGCUGGGUAUAGGCAGGGAACUCCCCCCCCCCUCCCUCUCUCUCUCUCUCUCUCUCUUUCUCUCUCUCUCUCUCUCUCUCUCUCUCUCUUUAAUUCAUUUAAUACUUUCAUGAGUACACCAUUGCUGUCUUCAGACACACCAGAAGACGGCAUCAGAUCCCAUUCAGAUGGUUGUGAGCCACCAUGUGGUUGCUGGGGCUCGAACUCAGGACCUCUGGAAGAGCAAUCAGUGCUCUUAACUGCUGAGCCAUAUAUCCCCGUCAUUGCCCAAGUUAUUUCUCCAUGUCCUCAAGCAGAUCAUAGUGCUUUGCUAUUCAACCUUCAGGCUUAUAAGUUUAUAAGGUCAGUAAUUGUGUGUGUGUGUGUGUGUGUGUGACUGACUUGUCUUUAGAGUGUGUGUCCCAGGGUGUCUCUCUGCUUACAUGUUAGAUAUGAGGUACAUGGUGGUGUCAUAAACCAUGGCUAAUGAGUGGCUGCCCCUGGUUAUGUGUCAUAACUGAAGCCAUCUCAGAACAGUUGGUGCUGUGGUAGACUUAUGUGGGAAAGGAACUUGGAGUUGACCAUAGCGUGGCCUCACAGCUAAUGUGAAGAUGAUCUUUGCUCUUCUGCAGCUCUGCAUGAGAGGCCGUCUGGUUUAAGUACUUGCACAUGGAUGGGUGGAAGAAAGAGGAGAGUAUCCUUUGCAAUGCUGGGAUUCUGUGGAUGCUAGACCUUUGCUUUGUCUGUAGCAUUUCCAAGAGGCUUAUGAAGUCAGCUUCCUUAAGGAAAGGCUGAGUUAGUUAUGUGUAGAGGAAAAGAAGUCUACAUUUUGGACUGUUUGUGGUUCUCAUCCCUUUUACAUUCAGUGCCCCCCUUUCUUAAUAAAUAAGUUUUGCCCUACAUAAUAUUUUGAAACAAAGAUAUAUAGAUGACCUGUCUUCAUAUGUUUACUAAAUAUAGCACAUUCUAAAUGCAGCGUAUUAGAAAAUGAAGAAAAAAUUACGUUUUCAGUAUGCAAACGCUUUUAGCACUUUAAUUAUAAAGCCAAUAGUAUUUCACUGUGGCUUCCAGGGGUGCAGUGUGUAUGCCACCAAGAAUAUGAUAUGUGGACAUGAUAACUCAUCUAGAAUUUUCAGAUGAUACAGGUGCAGUCUCCUUUUUUCUAGUAGUUGUAUAACUAAGAAAAACCACAUAUGAAAACCAUAGAAAAUGAUUGAUGUUCAUGUUGAAAAUGGUGCUAAUACAAUGACCAUUUUUUUUCCCCAAGUUGAAUACGCAGAGUCCUUGGAAAAUAUGUAUAAGGCAAUAGGCAAUACUUCAUUGAGCAUGUGUUCAGUAUACAAUGAGAGGUUCCAUAUACUAGGUAGUGUGCCCUGUCGUUCCGAUAACCAAAGGUGCUCUUUGGUGUUUCCAUUACACUGCCUUGCUGGAACUUCCGUCAGCAGCCAAGCCUUGUUACCAGAGGAACUUACAUGAACCUGCACAUUUGAAAGUUGUGGUGGAAAUUCCAAUGUGGAUCUAAUUCUCCUCUCAAUAAUGUACUGGGUUAUUUUCUGAGAUUACUGUAAAACUUUUUUGAAAC